rnacentral:misc_RNA from 1 species
ACUUUCUUCUUUGUUGGGCAAUUGGGGUACGUGCACUUGUAAUAACUUCUUGGAUUUUCACUUCCUUUAACUUGCUUUUGUCCAUAUUUUCUCCAAUUGUAACCAUCUUCUGAUCUUCUCUGGUCUCUAGCCGACUGAUAUUGCUGUUUUUGACCACCGCCAUAAUCUGACUGGAAUCCAUUGUUGCUUUGAGCGUUUGUUUGAAUCGCAGCAAUCUCUGGGGAGAAGCUCUGCGUACUCUUCCCACUAGCAAAAUCAUCUUGCUUGACAGAUUCUUGGA